UCCGGAAGCGCAGUGCUGUUCCAUGCUUGUCCUGGGAACGCCCCUGGCUAAUGUGCACACUUAGAGCCGCGUUACCAGGCACACCCUUCCCACGUGUGAUGUUGCUUUUUCUUUCAAGAACUCUCUUUUCAGGAAACAACCAGAAAUACACAUAAGACAUAACAUACAAGGAUUUCACUGUGGAUUUAUUUAUAAGAGCAAAGAAAUGGAAGGAAGGAAAAGUGAAUUGCUGUGCAAGUGACAAAAUCGCAUGUAGCAUCGCCACCAUCAUCAGGGAAAUGCAGAUCGAACUUGCAGCGAGCUCUCACCUCACACCUGCCAGAGUGAUCGUAUCAGGAAGGAGGAAGUAACCAGCGUUGCUGAGGAUGUGGAGAAAAGGGGACCCUCCUUCCCUGCGGGUGGGAGUGGAGGGGGGUGUGUCCCCUGCAGAAAACAGUAAUGAGGUGCCUCACAGAGUCAGAAAUAAAACCACCACCCAAUC